rnacentral:lncRNA from 1 species
AUGUCUACCGGUAUGGGGAUUUUAUACAUUAUUUGAUACCCGCUACUAUUGGCCAAAGAAUUAGUCAAUAGUGGCACAAAUAUGAUUUAAUGGAGGCACGGACAUUCAAUGCUAUAUAUUAGUAAUAAUAUAUCUAAACCUUUAUGUAUGGCCUCGCUAUUUAAAAUAGUAUUAUAUUAAAUGUUUAAUUAUGGUUUAAAUAUUAUGGUUCCAAAUAUUAUAGUUAAUAUUUAAUAUAAUACAUUAUAACUAGCUAAUUGCAUGCUUAAUAACAGAGCACUCUUUAACCCAACUUUUUACUUUAGUGAAAUGUCAAUUAUAUUAUGAUUUAUUAAAUAAAUAUGAACCAAAACAAACUAAUGAUAUUACGUAAUGGAUCUCUAAAGCUCCAAACCAACAGGUACCACCUUUGCAAAAUUGCAAUUGUGUGGACCAUGAUACCAUAUGGAAGCUACACUAAUUAAUUCACAUCAAUAAUUUGUGGAAACAAUAAGUGUUUUAAAUUGUGAUUAAUGGUAUAAUAUAAGUUACUACAAAUAUAUUAUUUAACGCUUUUCAGUAUAAAUAGUUAAUAAGAACAUGCAAUAAAGUGUAUUUUGUGGUGUGUUAAAUUUGUAGUAAUUAAUAGUUAAAAGCUAAAUUAUUAAAAAUAUUAAAUAAAUUUGAAGAUUACUUGAGUAGAUUGUGUAGUAUAAUUAGUUAAUUAAUAUAUUAUAAUUGAUAAAGUUAUAGCUAUUAAAUU